GACGUAGGGCGCAAGCGUUGUCCGGAAUUAUUGGGCGUAAAGAGCUCGUAGGCGGCUUGUUGCGUCGACUGUGAAAAACCACGACUCAACCGUGGGACCGCAGUCGAUACGGGCAGGCUAGAGUUCGGUAGGGGAGACUGGAAUUCCUGGUGUAGCGGUGAAAUGCGCAGAUAUCAGGAGGAACACCGGUGGCGAAGGCGGGUCUCUGGGCCGAUACUGACGCUGAGGAGCGAAAGCGUGGGGAGCGAACAGG
rnacentral:rRNA from 1 species